UACGGGGGGAGCAAGCGUUGCUCGGAAUCACUGGGCGUAAAGCGCACGUAGGCGGAUCUUUAAGUCAGAGGUGAAAUCCCCAAGGCUCAACCUUGGAACUGCCUUUGAUACUGGGGAUCUCGAGUCCGGAAGAGGUGAGUGGAACUGCGAGUGUAGAGGUGAAAUUCGUAGAUAUUCGCAAGAACACCAGUGGCGAAGGCGGCUCACUGGUCCGGUACUGACGCUGAGGUGCGAAAGCGUGGGGAGCCAAACAGG
rnacentral:rRNA from 1 species